rfam:Beta vulgaris subsp. vulgaris contig96492.1, whole genome shotgun sequence.
AAACUGGAGAGUUUGAUCCUGGCUCAGAAUGAACGCUGGCGGCGUGCUUAACACAUGCAAGUCGAGCGCGAAAGCGACUUCGGUCGCAAGUAGAGCGGCGCACGGGUGAGUAACACGUGGAUAACCUGCCUGAGUGUGGGGAAUAACUUGGGGAAACCUAAGCUAAUACCGCAUACGUCCAUUGGACUUCGGUUUGAUGGGGAAAGACCGCCAAUCCUUGGAAGCGGUCGCACACAG